AUGAAGCAGCUGUUUUUCAACUCCCACACAACCACCAGCACACAGGAUCAACCACCAGACUCUCUCCACACACUGGAGUCAUCAGGACUGAUGGAAGAGGCUACAGAGGGACCCUGUGGCACAUCGGACACACCCCAAAAUAGGACCUCACAGAUGUCUGCAGGGUCAGUCAGCCUGUUGGAGUUCCAUGCAGAUCUGCUACAAUCACCACCUGCCUCCUUACCACAAAGUGCUCUACUACUAGGCAUCCCUAAAACAAAGUCUGAGGUGAGCAGGAGUCAAGGAACCACACGUAUCAAAGGAAUCAGUGAAGGGAUAAAUUCAGUUCAUUUGGUCCUGUCUUCUCCAGGCCAGAAACCUUCCCAGAAGCCGGCCAUAGCUCAGCUAGCAGGGACUACCAAAGUGGUGUCCAUGUCCAUGAGGCCACAGCCUCCCUCUAAGCCCAGGUCAGAGAGGCCAGCAACAGGGACCAGGAUGUUUAUAUACAAGAGCAAGAAGGAGUCAGAGCAGGUGUCGGAGAAGGAAGCGGCAGAGAGGCGCAUCCGGAGAUCCAACUUCUUCAGCAGAUGUCUGGCUCUGAGCUCGGACAACACCGAUGACAGCAGGAACAGUGAGGACUCGGGCUCCGAGCCAUCCCACGGGAAAGCCCCACAGAAGGUCAAGAAAAAGAAAAGGAGGAAUCAGAAAGAUAGGUCUACGCAUGCACCAAGGACGCCCACUGACGACAGAAGCUCAAAGAGCCAGAGGAGUACCAUGGCCCCUAACAGUAUCCACAGUGUCAAGUCCACCACAGAGCUGCUGGAGGAGGCACGGGGCAUUGUAGGGGCCGAGGUUGCAGAGAGCCAGGAGGACACGGACCCCCAGCAGAGACACCCAGAGGAGUCAGUGGCCACGACUAUGGGGCUUGUCAGAGGCAGAGGGAGGACGGUGGAUGAGAUCAUUGCCUCCUUACAGAGAGGAGACAGUGAUAUGCCAUCUGCCUCGGACCAGAUGAUCAAGGAGCUGAUGGAAAGAGUGCUGGGGGACAGCUACAAUGCUGACAACGAGGAAGAAAAAACAGUGGAAUCAGAGGAGAGAGAAGAGAAUAUUAGCCAUGUACCAACAGAGGAUACUCCUCAGAGGUCCCCGGUUCCACAGAGGAUGUUGUGGGUUAAGAGGGAUUCUCCUACCCCUCCAAGACCUGCUGAGUCCUUUAAAGUCACAUCAGGGGUCUACAAGAUCGCUCACUCACUGUCUGAACGAGAGACAGACGGCGAUGACUCUAUGGUCUCUGCUCUUCCACAGAAGGUAAUACUUGGAUUCAUGUGGCUGUCAUUGUGUGAAGUUCAGUAG
rnacentral:lncRNA from 13 species